CACAAAUCUCAGAAAACCCCAGCGCGCAAACACUGUAGAUUGCAUGAGUGAAGCAUGCCAUCAAAGAAGAAAAAAAGAAGGAAAAAAGACAAUCAACAAUCCACUAUCUCAAAAGAAGAUUCUGAUACUGCAAAAACAUCAGUUCAGGAGUCCAGUGUGCAUCCAUAUGCAACACACAUUGAGGUUUUCCCAGUAAAAAAGAAAUUGGCUUUCACUGAGCCAACGUUGGAAGCCCUAGAGAAGCUUGCUAAUCUUCCAGCAAGUAAGGUUUAUCGCUUGUGGAAUCUUACAAUUGGCAAUAGUUCUGAAUUUGAGAUAGCUAAAGGAAGUGAUGGAACUUUUUCUUGGUCUGAGAGAUGAUGGCACUGAGGUAGCUGUCAAACUAAUAUUAAAGUCCCAAUAUCAAGACCUCGAAAAUGAAGAGCAAUUUUUAACGGCUUCCUCAGCUUGAUAAUCCUUGUAUUGUGCACUAUGUGGACUUUGCAGAGGAUGCACAUUUUGGAUAUCUUGCUCUUCAUCUUUGUGAAUACACACUGAAGGAAUACAUUGAAGACCAUUUGCCAGAAGACACUUCUCAGCAGCUACAGGUCCUGAAGAAAAUUGUAAAAGAAGUUCUUUAUAGCUUAAAUGCUCUUCACGGCCAUGACAUCAAAGUGCUUCAUCGAGACAUCAAACCUCAAAAUGUUCUGAUUGAUAUAACCGGAAAGGCAAGACUAGCUGAUUUCGGCAUAAGCCGAAGACUGAAGUUGGGGGAGAUGACUUGCCGCACAAAUCCUGCUGGAACAAAGUACUGGAAAGCCAGAGAGACUCUUGAAGAGGACUGUAACAGUGGCUACAAGAGGAGUUCUGACAUUCAGGUGGCAGGAAUGUUAAUAUAUUACGUCCUCUCCCGUGGACAUCAUCCGUUUGGCACAGGCGCUC